CCCUUAGAUGUUCUGGGCAGCACGCGCGCUACAAUGGUCUUCGCAAACGGAUGCAUUCUCGAAGGAGAAUGCCAAUCUUGGAAUCUAUGCCUUGGUCGGGACAGUUGCUUGCAAUUUUUCGACUCGAACCAGGAAUUCCUUGUAAUCGUGAUUCAUCACAUCACGAUGAAUACGUCCCUGCCCUUUGUACACACCGCCCGUCGCUACUACCGAUUGAAUCAUUUGGUGAGGUCCGCGGACUGUUGUGCUUCCUUCCUCGUGUUGGUUGCGCUUCUUGGGAAGCGGCACGAACCUGAUGAUUUAGAGGAAGUAAAAGUCGUAACA
rnacentral:rRNA from 1 species